AGUGGCGGACGGGUGAGUAACACGUAAGAAUUUGCCUUUAGGAGGGGGACAACAACUGGAAACGGUUGCUAAUACCCCAUAUGCUUUCGAGUGAAAUGGAUUUUUCCGCCUAAAGAGAAGCUUGCGGCUGAUUAGCUUGUUGGUGAGGUAAUGGCUCACCAAGGCGACAAUCAGUAUCUGGUUUGAGAGGAUGAUCAGACACACUGGAACUGAGACACGGUCCAGACUCCUACGGGAGGCAGCAGUGGGGAAUUUUCCGCAAUGGGCGAAAGCCUGACGGAGCAAUCUCGCGUGAGGGAUGACGGCCUAUGGGUUGUAAACCUCUUUUUUCAGGGAGGAACAAAAUGACGUGUACCUGAAGAAUAAGCAUCGGCUAACUCCGUGCCAGCAGCCGCGGUAAGACGGAGGAUGCAAGUGUUAUCCGGAAUCACUGGGCGUAAAGCGUCUGUAGGUGGUUUAAUAAGUCAACUGUUAAAUCUUGAAGCUCAACUUCAAAAUCGCAGUCGAAACUAUUAGACUAGAGUAUAGUAGGGGUAAAGGGAAUUUCCAGUGGAGCGGUGAAAUGCGUAGAUAUUGGAAAGAACACCGAUGGCGAAGGCACUUUACUGGGCUAUUACUGACACUCAGAGACGAAAGCUAGGGUAGCAAAUGGGAUUAGAUACCCCAGUAGUCCUAGCCGUAAACAAUGGAUACUAGAUGU
rnacentral:rRNA from 1 species